AUUUGUUGAGAUGGCUUUGUAUUGUUUCUCAAAAUCGUAAACAGGAGUCUCUUUCUCUACCUCUCUCUCUCGAACUCAUCGUCUCUUCAUCUCCAUCUCUCCUCCGUAGUGCUUUCCGGUCAGUUUCUUCAUGGCUUUCCGGUCAGUUUCUCUUCUUAAUUCUUUCUUAGCGUUUCAAUUUGGGGUUUUUUAGGUUUGAGUUUCGAUUUAUCUUGACUAUCUGUUCUGGGUCAAGGGGUUACGAUUUUGUAAUGAUUUAUGGGUCAGAGGAAGCAGAGCACGACAGAGUUUUGCGGCGAAGUUACCAAAGAGGAAUCUGCUGGCUAAUGUUCAAAAGGCCUCUACGGUGGCUUAGAAUGCUCAUCGAAGAGCUUCACUGGAGCUUCUUCUUCGGUAUAAUUGUCGUCUACGGCGUUAGCCAAGGUCUCAGUAAAGUUUUGGGUUCUGUUGACCGAUGUUGUAAGGGUUUUUGGUUACAGGAGACGACCCUAUUUCAUAUUCGCUGGGGAAUGAUUUUACUCCUUUUGAAGGUUAUUUGAUGGGAGAGUUGAGGAUGCACUUUUGAUGUCUCUCAUGAUGAAGGGCCGUAAGAAGAAAGAGAGGUUUGCUUUACAGGAUAAACCACAAGAACUACUUGAAAAACGGCCGUGUAGUUACAUCUCCGGCGGUCAACAACACGGAGACCGAUUGAAUAACUGCAGAUGAAGAUGUGAUUGGAUAUGAUUUUCUAGUGAUAGCUACUGGUCACAACGACCUGUUCCCCAAAACCAGACAAGAAAAUCUCUCACAGUACCAAACAUAAUAUGAGAAGAUCAGAUCUUCUAAAUCAGUUCUGAUUGUUGGUGGAGGACCUUCUGGUGUGGAACUAGCUGCAGAAAUCUCUGUUCAGCUUCAGACGGAAACAAAACAUACCGGACUUCAGGAGGAGAGACUAUACACGCAGGUUGUCAUUUCCUCUGUGUUGUGAAACCUCUGUCUUCUCAAUGGCUCAGUGGGGCUGUUUUGAAAGAUAGCUUGGGUCAGAGAUGGUCAUUGUUUCUUUAGGAAGAAAAGACUAGUUGGCUCUGUUUCCGUUUGCGACGUUCGUUGGUUGCCUCCCUGGUUUGAUCAAGUCGAAGGAUCUAUUUGUAAGGAAGACGAGGAAGACAAGAGGGCUAAAUCCUAAACUUGUUCAAGAUUGAGUCAUUUAGUAUGUUUCAGAGGUUUCAUCUUGUGUGUGUUUUUUUUCUCUUUCGUGCGACCUCUUUGUUUCAUUGUGGAGUGAAUGUAGGUUUGCGUAUGUUGUUUGUGUGUUGUAUCUUUGAUGUACUAUUGAUAUUAUUUGAAUCAAAUAAAAAACCGGAAGAAUAGUUAACCAAA